rnacentral:rRNA from 1 species
AGUGAACGCUGGCGGUAGGCCUAACACAUGCAAGUCGAACGGCAGCACAGUAAGAGCUUGCUCUUACGGGUGGCGAGUGGCGGACGGGUGAGGAAUACAUCGGAAUCUACUUUUUCGUGGGGGAUAACGUAGGGAAACUUACGCUAAUACCGCAUACGACCUACGGGUGAAAGCAGGGGAUCUUCGGACCUUGCGCGAUCGGAUGAGCCGGUGUCGGAUUAGCUAGUUGGCGGGGUAAAGGCCCACCAAGGCGACGAUCCGUAGCUGGUCUGAGAGGAUGAUCAGCCACACUGGAACUGAGACACGGUCCAGACUACUACGGGAGGCAGCAGUGGGGAAUAUUGGACAAUGGGCGCAAGCCUGAUCCAGCCAUACCGCGUGGGUGAAGAAGGCCUUCGGGUUGUAAAGCCCUUUUGUUGGGAAAGAAAAGCAGCAGGUUAAUACCCCGCUGUUCUGACGGUACCCAAAGAAUAAGCACCGGCUAACUUCGUG